rnacentral:rRNA from 2 species
UAGGGAAUCUUCCACAAUGGGCGCAAGCCUGAUGGAGCAACGCCGCGUGAGUGAAGAAGGUCUUCGGAUCGUAAAACUCUGUUGUUAGAGAAGAACAUGCGAGAGAGUAACUGUUCUUGUAUUGACGGUAUCUAACCAGAAAGCCACGGCUAACUACGUGCCAGCAGCCGCGGUAAUACGUAGGUGGCAAGCGUUGUCCGGAUUUAUUGGGCGUAAAGGGAACGCAGGCGGUCCUUUAAGUCUGAUGUGAAAGCCUUCGGCUUAACCGAAGAAUUGCAUUGGAAACUGGAGGACUUGAGUGCAGAAGAGGAGAGUGGAACUCCAUGUGUAGCGGUGAAAUGCGUAGAUAUAUGGAAGAACACCAGUGGCGAAAGCGGCUCUCUGGUCUGUAACUGACGCUGAGGUUCGAAAGUGUGGGUAGCAAACAGG